AGAGUUUGAUCCUGGCUCAGGAUGAACGCUGGCGGCGUGCUUAACACAUGCAAGUCGAACGAAGCACCUGAAUACAAUUCUUCGGAUGCGUGUACUUGUAGACUGAUGUGGCGGACGGAGUGAGUAACGCGUGGGUAACCUACCUCAUACAGGGGGAUAACAGUUAGAAAUGACUGCUAAUACCGCAUAUGCAUUUAGUGCCGCAUGGUACAGAAUGGAAAACUUUUGUGGUAUGAGAUGGACCCGCGUCUGAUUAACUGGUUGGUAAAGUAACGGCUUACCAAGGCGACUAUCAGUACCCGACUUGACAGAGUGAUCGGCCACAUUGGGACUGAAACACGGCCCAAACUCCUACGGGAGGCAGCAGUGGGGAAUAUCGCACAAUGGGGGAAACCCUGAUGCAUCGACGCCGCGUGAAGGACGAAGUAUUUCGGUAUGUAAACUUCUAUCAGCAAGGAAGAUCAUGACGGUACUUGACUAAGAAGCCCCGGCUAAAUACGUGCCACCAGCCGCGGUAAUACGUAUGGGGCAAGCGUGAUCCGGAUAUACUGGGUGUAAAGGGAGCGUACGUGGUAUGGCAAGUCACAUGUGAAAGCCCGGGGCUCAACUCCGGGACUGCAUAUGAAACUGUCAGACUAGAGUGCAGGAGAGGAAAGCGGAAUUCUUAGGUUACACGUGGAAUGCGUAGAUAUUAGGAUGUACACCAGUGCCGCAGGCGGCUUUCUGGACUGUAACUGACUCUGAGGCUCGCAAGCCUGGGGAGCAGACAGGAUUAGAUACCCUGGUAGUCCACUCCGUAAACGAUGAAUACUAGAUGUUGGGGAACAAAAGUUCUUCGGUGCCGCCGCUCACGCAUUAAGUAUUCCACCUGGGGAGUACGUUAGCAAGAAUGGAACUCAAAGGAAUUGACGGGGACCCGCACAACCGGUGGAGCAUGUGAUUUAAUUCGACGCAACGCGAAGAACAUUACCUGCUCUUGACAUCCCACUGACCGCAGGGUAAUGCCUGCUUUUGUUCGGAACAGUGGUGACAGGUGGUGCAUGGUUGUCGUCAGAUCGUGUCGUGAGAUGUUGGGUUAAGUCCCGCAACGAGCGCAACCCCUAUCUUUAGUAGCCAGCAGUCCGGCUGGGCACUCUAGAGAGACUGCCAGGGAUAACCUGGAGGAAGGCGGGGAUGACGUCAAAUCAUCAUGCCCCUUAUGAGCAGGGCUACACACGUGCUACAAUGGCGUAAACAAAGGGAAGCGAUACUGUGAGGUGGAGCAAAUCCCAAAAAUAACGUCCCAGUUCGGAUUGUAGUCUGCAACUCGACUACAUGAAGAUGGAAUCGCUAGUAAUCGCGAAUCAGAAUGUCGCGGUGAAUACGUUCUCCGGGUCAUUGUACACAC
rnacentral:rRNA from 1 species